rnacentral:rRNA from 1 species
UACGAAGGGUGCAAGCGUUAAUCGGAAUUACUGGGCGUAAAGCGCGCGUAGGUGGUUCAGUAAGUUGGAAGUGAAAUCCCCGGGCUCAACCUGGGAACUGCUUUCAAAACUGCUGAGCUAGAGCACGGUAGAGGGUGGUGGAAUUUCCUGUGUAGCGGUGAAAUGCGUAGAUAUAGGAAGGAACACCAGUGGCGAAGGCGACCACCUGGACUGAUACUGACACUGAGGUGCGAAAGCGUGGGGAGCAAACAGG